rnacentral:rRNA from 1 species
GAUGAACGCUAGCUACAGGCUUAACACAUGCAAGUCGAGGGGAAACGAUAUUGGAAGCUUGCUUCCGAUAGGCGUCGACCGGCGCACGGGUGAGUAACGCGUAUCCAACCUGCCCGUCACUUGGGAAUAACCUUGCGAAAGUAAGACUAAUGCCCAAUGACAUUUAUAGAAGGCAUCUGAAAUGAAUUAAAGAUUUAUCGGUGAUGGAUGGGGAUGCGUCUGAUUAGCUUGUUGGCGGGGUAACGGCCCACCAAGGCGACGAUCAGUAGGGGUUCUGAGAGGAAGGUCCCCCACAUUGGAACUGAGACACGGUCCAAAACUCCUACGGGAGGCAGCAGUGAGGAAUAUUGGUCAAUGGGCGAGAGCCUGAACCAGCCAAGUAGCGUGCAGGAAGACGGCCCUAUGGGUUGUAAACUGCUUUUAUAGGGGAAUAAAGUGAGCCACGUGUGGUUUUUGCAUGUACCCUAUGAAUAAGGACCGGCUAAUUCCGUG